AUAUUCUCAACAACCUCAUAGAAAUGUAGCACGAUUAUCCCCAUGCUCAGAUGAGCUCGUGUUGAUUGCCUGCUACCCAGCUAUAACAAUGCCUCUCUGUCAUUCAAUCAAUUCUCUCACUUCUGUUUCCAUUGCACCUUCUCCAUCCAGGUUCUUGUGCUUACUCUUCUCUCUUCUGGGAAGGUUCAUUGACACCUUGUCUCUUUGGAGGAAUCAGACCCCCCUUGUUCUGAGGCUUCCAGAGACAGGUUAGCCACCAAGACCUGCUGUGGAGACAGCUGAGUGAGGGGAAUUGAGAAGAGAUAUGGACAGGAGAGGAUGGGUACCGGUGUGGCCCUAAGAUCUGCUGUCACAACAGGGGCCACAUCCCCAGGAAGGGAGGUGCGCUGAAUCAUGGAGAAGCUACUCCUUGCUCCUGGAUGGAAGAGCAGAUCUCAGCACCCGGCGGAGGGUGGCAGUGUGGACCUGGAUGGCUGUGGAGCAUGGCUGGCUGCAGCCCCGGCUGCCACCCUUCUGGAUCCACCCAGCAUUUGUGCGGAGACCACAUUGCUCUCAGCCAACAACUAGACCGGCUGGGGGCCCUUUCCUGUGGGACGCAGGAGUCCUUAGGGACUAGGAUGUCCUAUGGGCAAUGAUGGCCCAAGGAUGGCACACCACUUAGCUACACUGCGCUGCCGUCCUGAGACUUCCUGCUCAGCCCUUCUUUCCCCACCUUCUUUCGUGAGGGCAGAUCAGUAUCGUGCUCUAGGGCUCUCCCUGCUACCUCCUGCUCCCGUCUGUGUCCUUUGCAGGUGUCCCCUAGUGACUCUUGCAUGUCUAAUCUCAGCUUGGCGUCUGCUCCUUGGGGGGCAUAAGAGCUUCAGACUACAUCCCUCCAAAGGUCAUUUGGUCCAGUUUUUUGCUUUAGCCUGGGCUGUCCAUGCUCACAAGACUGAAGAGAUGGAAGCCCCUCUCCUUAAAGGAUAGGGAUGUCUCCUCCUCCCUCCUCAUUGACACAUUGGCUUUGGGUCCUCUGGAAGUCCUUCCUCAGACCUAGUUUAGAGCCUCUCAGCUCUCCUGCCACCUGAGUGAUCCCUGGCCCAGAAACCUUGGUGGACGUCGAGUGGAGUGCCCCGGCCUCAGUGAUCACCAUUGGGACUGGCCCACACAGAGGGGCCUGGGCCCACCCAGGCUGGGGCCGCUGAGCUUGGUCCCCGGGCUCCCUGCAGGCUUCCCUCCUCCCUUGGAGUGCCCGUGGUGAGCAGUGCAUGCUCUCUGCCUGGCUCCUUCUCAUGACUUGUUAGGAAGGAGAAUUGAUGACAUCAAUAAUGUGACUUGUAUGCAAGCUGCACCACCAACAAACCUGAGUUCUGGGAAUAAAUCCUUUUCUCACCGGGUAAUUGCUCUGUAAGCCAAAAAGAAUUACACUUUUCUUGGCCACCACAAACAGAGCCUCCCCAGGACGCCAGAGCCCCCCUUCCACUGGUGACUUCCACACAACACCCUGCAGGCCGUUCACAAGCUUCUGUCCACCCAGAUGCCCUAACCACGGCCCCUGGGUUCAGGACAAAGGGUGUAGGUGCUCUCCUGGCCCCCUCGACCGGCCCCUCCUGCCCAUGGCUGGUAGGUGGAGGUGGGCUCACUGUAUUCUCUGUCCCAAGUGGCUCUUGAAUGGAUAUGCUCAUCAGGGAAUUCCAAUAACCCAACAUAAGCAGAGCCCAGGGAGGAAGGUGGCGAGGGAGGAGGAAAAGUCAGGGCCAUGACCUGGCAUCUGGGCUUGGAUGAGGGAGGAGGGGAGGGAAAGGAGGAUUUGCAGAGGGAUGGGCCAGGGCGGUGGGCACUGUCCUGAAGCUGCUCCUUGUGCCCCAGGGAGGGCUGUGUAUGCCAGGCGUGGGGGCAGCAGUCAGAGAGCAAGACCGAGAAGUCGUCAGUGGGGAUUAGGGCCAGCUGCAGCUGUUCAUUCCAUCACAGAGAUUUUUAUGCCGAGCCUGGGCCCGCUCUACGGGGGAUCCCACUGGAGUCUUCCACAGUUUUCCAAAUUGUUCCCUUCCAUCAUCUUCCUUUUCCCUCCAGCACCAGGCUCCCACUGCCCCCCUCUUUUUCCUCCCUUCUUUCACCAUGGCUGUGACAAGUGAGGUUAGUGAGUCUUGACUGGGGGUGGAAGGAAAAGGCCCAUUUGGAGAACCCCAAGUGGAGUAUGGCUUUCUCCUUUCCGGAAAUAGUGGUCUCCCUGCUCCCCUGCCUCCCUCGCUUUUGGGCCUGGGAUGAUGUGCUCUCUCUGUCCCGAGUCAGGCGUGGGUGAGCUGGCGUCUGCAGGUGGGAGACUCUUACCCUGCUUGGUGCCUGUAACGCCCUGGCCCCCAACUUAGGACUCUGAACCCAAGCUCUCUGGGCUGUGUGUCCACUCUCUGGGCUCUUGGAGCUGAGGGGCCGCCAGGCAGCAGAGCUGGGACCUCCUGCUGACAGUAAGCCAGAGCUGCAGCAGGCUCGGCAUUAGUGGUGCCAGGUGGCCCCGAGGCUCACAAGCCCUGCCCAGCCUCCCCUGUGCUCAGGUGAACUGCCCAGCGUCUGCUCAUCAUGCUGGCUGCCGCCUGCUCAGGACCUGGACUCGAGAGCCAGGGUCCUGGGGUGUGAAGCCUUCCCCAGUGCCUCUGGGUGAUCUCGGGCAAACCUUUGUUAUGGUUUGAAUGUGUCCCCCCAAAUUCAUGUGUCCUGUUGGCAAGUGUAUCUAUCCUCAAUGUAAGGGUGUGGAAGGUGGGGCCUAAUGAGGUGAUUAGGUCGUGGGACACCACCGUCAUGGAUGGAUUGUCUCUAUCAAGGGAGCAGGUUAGUUAUGGAGAGCGUGGGCAUGUGAUGAAAGCGAGUCGGGCCCCUCCCUGCUCUCUCGCUCUGAGCGCGCUCUCUUGCCUGCCGGCCUUCUACCAUGGGAUGACGCAGCAAGAAGGCUCUUGCUAGAAACAGGCCCCUUGACCUUCGACUUUCCAGCCUCUAGAACUGUCAGAAAUAAAUCUCCUUUCUUUACAUAUU